AAGACCAUAGUCAAUACCUAUGACGUAUGAGUUGCAUUCAUAAAGAGUUUUCUAAACUGGUUUUA
rnacentral:tRNA from 1 species